GGCAGCCGGGUUGGAGGCUACUGGAGCAAAGGCACAAAGUCUCAGGCCUGAAGGGCAUGGCGUGUUUGGAACCUGUGAGAAGUUGGUGCAGCCCCAGCAACGGCGGCAAGUGGGCAGGGAACCUGAGCCAAGUUUUGCGAAAGGCCUUUAUUGCCGCGCCGGAGUGGAUUUCAUUCGGAGGCAACGGAAGCCUUAGAAGUUUCCCAGCAGGGAAGUGAUUCAAAGCCGCUCCGGAUUUUACCCAGCCCUGGAGCGGGGAGGCCAGGUUUAUUUAUUUAUUUUGAGAGAGAGAGAGAGCCCCAAGCAGGCUCUGCAGUGUCAGCGCAGAGCCUGAUGCAGGGAUCAGACUCACGACCCUCAAGAUCGGGACCCGAGCCAAAGUUGGAUGCUUGCCCGACUGAGCCACCCAGUCACACUGGUCUCUGGGAACGUGCCUGGCUUAUUCUGCCCUUACACUGAAGACCGCUCGAAGGGAAGCGUGUCCUUCCUAGUUACCCAAGUGACCAGCUCCACCGCCUCCUUCGAGGAUUUGCCUGAAGGUCACCUCCUCAACCUGGUCUACCCUGACUACCUGACUGAAAAUUGCUCUGCGCCCCGACGUCUGGAUCCCCCUCAUUCCCCCUUGAGCUUUUCUUUCUUCUUCGUAUGAUCACUUUGGAUCAUCGCUGCAGAUCCGACUUUAAGGACUUUUCAUGUCUAUUCUUUGCUGUUUGUCUCCCUCUGCUGGAACGGAAGCCCUGCAAGGGGAGGGGUCUGUUUCAUUCCCAGUGUUCUCUAAGCACCCGGCACCUAGUAGGCCCUUAAUGAGUUGAGUGAACAAAUGAAUGAGGCUCCCAGCCAAUCAGCUCGGGCUCUCCCAUCUGCUUUCAGCAUCAGCUCCUUACUGGGGUCAAGCCUUGGGUUUCAGACAGAUACAUCCUCAGACUUCCAGGUUUUUAUUGGGGUGGAGUUUGGUGGGAUAGAAGGAGGCAGGAUUUUGCACAGGACAUUUGGUCUUGAAGAACACGGUGAUUUCCUUUUCCAAACUUUUUGGUUAUUGGAAUCAGGGAAUCGAGAAUGCCAAAGCUUGGG